GACGAACGCUGGCGGCGUGCCUAAUACAUGCAAGUCGAACGCAGUGGGGACGGGUGAGUAACACGUGGGUAACCUCCCAUCAGAGGGGAUAACACUUGGCAACUGCUGCUAACCUGAUAUUGAUUUAUCGACCCGCGGGGCAUUAGCUAGUUGGUGGGGUAACGGCUCACCAAGGCCACGAUGCAUAGCCGACCUGAGAGGGUGAGCGGCCACACUGGGACUGAGACACGGCCCAGACUCCUACGGGAGGCAGCAGUAGGGAAUAUUGGGCAAUGGACGAAAGUCUGAUCGAGCAACGCCGCGUGAGUGAAGAAGGUUUUCGGAUCGUAAAACUCUGUUGUUGGAGAAGCGGUAUCUAAACAGAAAGCCACGGCUAACUACGUGCCAGCAGCCGCGGUAAUAC
rnacentral:rRNA from 1 species